rnacentral:lncRNA from 1 species
GUGAGGCUAUUCUUGAACCCCUUCACGAACUAAGCAUGGUGGGAAUGACUUAACUAAGUGCAAUGGAGCCAAUAUCAUAUCAUUGUGAGGUGACAUUCUCUAGAGGCCAAAUAAGAUGGGUACUUGCAAGAGAUGCAAAUGAGUAAGCAUACUCUCUCAUUAUUAUUAAUGCUAGCCAAUAUCAUAUCAUUGUUAGGUGGGCUUGGUAGUAGUGAGUCUCCCAUACCCUACUAAGAGUUUCCUCCAAAACUCUCGAAUUCCAAUGAGGGAUAUGGAAUUUGCCAAAAAUAGUGGGUGGUGUUAUUUGACUUAAAGACCCGGAUCAAAUGGCUUAAAAUCAAUCAAUUAUAUUCGUUAUGUAUUUGUUUACCAAUAUAUUUACAAACGCUAUCCAACACUUGACAAAUAAAAGCCGAAAGCUUUAGUUUCCGUACUUGGUACUUCAAAACCAUAGAUUGUCUUUAAUGGCUUGUAAAUGUACCUAAGUAGUCUCAUCCUCACAAUCUUCCUAUUGAUAAUGUAUCAUUAGAAGAAUAUGUUAGAAAAAGUCUAUCAUAAAGAGGACAACACUUUUAAAGUCAUAAUUCUUCAAUUACAAAUCGUUGUAUGAAGAAAUAAGAGUUGGUUUGAACAACCCUUAGUCAAUGCAAACACUAAUGCUUGUUUCUUUGUUAAAUGAACAAAGAACUUGGGAAGAAAGCACAAGGGCAUGGACACUUUAUGUGCCAUGAUUCUUCACUUACAAAUUGUUGUAUGAAGAAAUGAG